GGCGGCAGUUAGAGUCCGAAUUGCCCCUCCCCAAGGGGCCCGCCGCCGCCCCUCCCACCCGCAGUCCAUGGCGGGCGCGGAGGCGGGCGUCAUGCGGAGGGCCGGAGGUUUCGUGUCGGUAGUACUGGCCCUGGUGCUAGCCGCGAGGCUCCCCGCGCUCGGCCGGCCGCCGCCGCCGCUGGGUCGACUCCUUGCCCUGUGGGAGCUGUGGCCAGGUUAUAUAAAAGAGUGUCAGCUACUAUCAAUGGUAACAGUAAACAAUUCUUCAAAUAAAACAUCACAACUUGUGGACCCAGAACAAUCAACAUUGAAAAAAAAUCUAAUUUCUCAUGGUUUUUGGCAGAACACUUCUACGGUUGGAAGAAAUUACAAAAAAUUUAAAACAAAAUCAGAAGCAACUAGAAGAAAAACUGACAAAUACAAGCACCAAUGGAAGCUACUCAGAAAUAACAUUGUAAACAUUUUCAUGAAUCAAAACAAGCCACAACUAAUUACCAGUGAAGGCAUAAAAACACAAGUUUCCAAAAAGUGGACAGGAAGUGGAAAAAUAACUUCAACUGAAACAAAUGCAGAGCUAAUAGAAAAAGCAAGAAAGAUCCUAAAGCUUGGGAAAACUGAAAAUACUAAGAUAAGUCAACACAAAAUUAAUUCACAUCUACAGAAUGAAUUUAAAAUUGUUGAAAAGAAAACUGCAAAUAAAAGAAAGCAACCACAAAGAAAGUUGUGUGACAAUUCUGGUAUAUUUAACAAAUGCUUUGGAACUAAGUCAUCGUUGGUUAAUACAUUUUUGACAGCAAAUUUUCUAUCAACUGUUAAAGGAAAAUGUUGCAGAAAAAAUCUGAAAGACUUACAAAGCUUUUUGGUAUUAAAUUUAGUAAAAAAUCAGAUGGUCAAUGAAAAUAGUCAAAAUCAGACUAAAAUAAUGACUAAGGAAAAAAAUAAGUGUACCAAUGAAAGAAUUUUAGCAUUUGUCAAACAAAAGGAAUUAGCUGAAAAGAGUUCUAAAACAUGGGACUGGGAAAGAAUAGGUGCAAUCAGCAGAGAUCAGCAUAAAAUAUUAACUGAUGCAAGAAAAGUGUUAAUAAAUGCAGAAAAGAAAAGUCAACAUACUAAACUUCAGAAAUAUGGACAUAUACCUAAAGAGUUUCAGGAAAUAACUGGAUCUGUAAACAAUAUACCAAGUGGAAUAAGCAGUUGGAAAAGAAAAUCAGAAAGAAUGUCGACUAGGCCUUACAAGAAAAAACAAAACAUUUUAAACUCAAUGAAACAAAGAUCAGUAGGAUUACAAAAGGGUCAACCAAAUAUGAAAGACAUAGAUGGAGUGUACACAACUGGAAAAUCAGACAAAAAUAAUGGGAGCAUGGAUGUAUUGUUUAAUAGCUUGCCUGAAGUAGGAAUCAAAGUAAUACUUCAAGGUAAAGAGCAAAGAACUAAAGCAACUCCAAAAUCUGUUGAUGAAAAUCAGAGAUCUACACAAGCAAUGAUCUUGCAAAGAGGCAAAGAAAAUGUGCAGGAAAAGUGGUCAAUAUAUAAAACUGGUUCUUCUAGAACUCAUGAAAGAAAACAAGAUAUUUUUAAAACUGAAGCUUCUAGAAAACAGAAAUGGAGAGGGAAUCCGGUUGAAGUACAUAUACCUAAAAAAGAAAGUACUGUGUUUAGAGUGGAAGAGUUGGAAUAUUCAUCCAGAAAUGACCAUGUAGAACCUACAAAGUUAAAUUCUGUCUUUCCAACCACAAAGUAUGCUGUAAGUGUUAAACAGGCAUUAUUUACACCAGAAAUAGGACAAGCAAAGUCUUCAAGACACGUGGGAAAAAUGGUGACACAUAGCAUGUCAACUUCAUGGGAGGUAAAACAGAAAUAUUUAAGCUGUGCUCGAAAGGAUUUAAAUGUUAAAGCUAGAAGAGCUGCUGUAUCAAACAAACAAACUGUGAAUAGUAAAUAUAAAAAAAUCAAUAAAAGAGAUUAUUUACCAGUACCUUCAAUAUAUCCUUAUAAACACACUUCUCAAAGUGUAUCCGAUGGUGAAAGAAGGAAACAAUCAACACAGGGUGAAAGUGUAAAGGUAUCUGUAGGAUGGUACAAUAAAAGGAGAACAGUGAUUGACCCUUGCACAGAUAUGAAGGAAUGUGCAAAAGGGGUGUCCUCUUGUGUAACAGUGCAAGGACCUCCCACAGGACCAAUCUCUGGGCUCUGGGACAGAGACUGCUUGCUCCUGCUUCCCACUUCAUUCCACCAGGAGCAAGAUGCUAAAAAAGAAGCAUCGAGGAGGCAGGUUCAUAGUCUGAAGCUCACCCCUUUCCCACACCAGCCUAAUGGAUGGAGCAGAUUACACAUCCUCUGUAUCCUCAGAAAAGAUCUGGAAGGAAUUGUGUUUCAGGUAGACACAAUCCUGUGUGAUAAUCCUGAGGCUCCACACAUACCAUCUUCUAUGUAAUUGCCCUAAAAUUGCCACUGAACCUAUAGACUUGUGAUUGUGAUAUUGACGACAAAUGGUGAGGUGGCAAUGAAUUACCUAGAAUGGUAAGUAUAUACAUCUACAAAAGGAUGUGUUGCAAGAAAAAAAUUUAUGUACAGACAUCAUACAAUUGUUGUGUUGAAAAGAAAUCUGAGCCAGUUUUUCUCAACUAAGCAGAAACAUUUUCACUGGAUGAAAGUUACCCUAGUGACAGAGCCUACAUAAGAUCCAGUACACCUAAAGGGUGUAGGUGUUCGUUAGAGCCUUCUGUGAGCCCUGGUACUGGCAAAAUAUUUCACCUAUUAUAUAUAUAAACUAUAUUUUAAAAACAAGUUUUAAAAUUACAAUAAGGCUGCUGAAACAUUGCCACUAAUCCUCAUUAGAGAGGUUUAGUAAUUUUUAUAAUCUAUUUUUAAUUCACUUGUUAGAUAUCUUCGUGUAAAUGCAAAAUAAAAUACUAUAUCAAAGGCUGAAUGUUAUGACC
rnacentral:lncRNA from 1 species